AUUGAACGCUGGCGGCAGGCCUAACACAUGCAAGUCGAGCGGAUGAGAAAAGCUUGCUUUUUGAUUCAGCGGCGGACGGGUGAGUAAUGCCUAGGAAUCUGCCUGUUAGUGGGGGAUAACUCGGGGAAACUCGGGCUAAUACCGCAUACGUCCUACGGGAGAAAGUGGGGGAUCUUCGGACCUCACGCUAACAGAUGAGCCUAGGUCGGAUUAGCUAGUAGGUGAGGUAAUGGCUCACCUAGGCGACGAUCCGUAACUGGUCUGAGAGGAGGAUCAGUCACACUGGAACUGAGACACGGUCCAGACUCCUACGGGAGGCAGCAGUGGGGAAUAUUGGACAAUGGGCGAAAGCCUGAUCCAGCCAUGCCGCGUGUGUGAAGAAGGUCUUCGGAUUGUAAAGCACUUUAAGUUGGGAGGAAGGGUAUUCACCUAAUACGUGGGUACUUUGACGUUACCAACAGAAUAAGCACCGGCUAACUCUGUGCCAGCAGCCGCCGUAACAC
rnacentral:rRNA from 1 species